UGAGCAAUCUGCCCUUCUCUUUGGAAUAAGCGUUGGAAACGACGUCUAAUGCCGAAUACGACCUCCUUUCGCAUGAUCGGAGGUGGAAAGCUCCGGCGGAGAAGGAUGAGCUCGCGGCCUAUCAGCUAGUUGGUGUGGGUAAUGGCCCACCAAGGCGACGACGGGUAGCCGGCCUGAGAGGGUGACCGGCCACACUGGGACUGAGAUACGGCCCAGACCCUACGGA
rnacentral:rRNA from 1 species